UGCUAUAGUGAAGCUGGUAGAAACACUGGAAACCCUGCCGACAUGUGAUUUGGCCGACCAGCACAAUAUUAAAUUCCACUAUGCAUUUGCACUGAAUAGGAGAAACAGCACAGGCGAUCAUGAGACGGCUCUGCAGGUCAUGCUCCAGGUUCUGCAGAGCUGUGACCACUCAGCUCCCAGCAUGUUCUGCCUGUGCAGAGGAUCUACAAGGACAUCUUCUUGGAUUCAGACUGCCAAGAUGAUGCCAGCCGCGACAGCGCCAUUGAGAGGUAUCGCAAAGGAUUUGAGCUCCAGUCAUCUCUUUAUUCUGGAAUUAACCUUGCAGUUUUGCUGAUAGUUGCUGGACAACAAUUCGAAACUUCCAUGGAACUAAGGAAACUAG